rnacentral:rRNA from 1 species
AGGACGAACGCUGGCGGCGUGCCUAAUACAUGCAAGUCGAACGGUCUUUUCUAUGGAAGCUUGCUUCACUGAGAAGAUAGUGGCGGACGGGUGAGUAACACGUGGGUAACCUGCCCAUAAGAGGGGGAUAACAUCCGGAAACGGGUGCUAAUACCGCAUAGUUUUCUUGAUCGCAUGAUCGGGAAAGGAAAGACGGCCUUUGUGCUGUCGCUUAUGGAUGGACCCGCGGCGUAUUAGUUAGUUGGUGAGGUAACGGCUCACCAAGACGAUGAUACGUAGCCGACCUGAGAGGGUGAUCGGCCACAUUGGGACUGAGACACGGCCCAAACUCCUACGGGAGGCAGCAGUAGGGAAUCUUCCGCAAUGGACGAAAGUCUGACGGAGCAACGCCGCGUGAGUGAAGAAGGUUUUUUCGGAUCGUAAAACUCUGUUGUCAGAGAAGAACAAGUUGGAGAGUAACUGCUCCAGCCUUGACGGUAUCUGACCAGAAAGCCACGGCUAACUACGUGCCAGCCGCUGC